rnacentral:rRNA from 1 species
AACGAACGCUGGCGGCAGGCCUAACACAUGCAAGUCGAGCGCCCCGCAAGGGGAGCGGCGGACGGGUGAGUAACGCGUGGGAACGUACCCUUUGCUACGGAAUAGCCUCGGGAAACUGGGAGUAAUACCGUAUGUGUCCUUCGGGAGAAAGAUUUAUCGGCAAGGGAUCGGCCCGCGUUGGAUUAGGUAGUUGGUGGGGUAAUGGCCUACCAAGCCGACGAUCCAUAGCUGGUUUGAGAGGAUGAUCAGCCACACUGGGACUGAGACACGGCCCAGACUCCUACGGGAGGCAGCAGUGGGGAAUCUUAGACAAUGGGCGCAAGCCUGAUCUAGCCAUGCCGCGUGAGCGAUGAAGGCCUUAGGGUUGUAAAGCUCUUUCAGGGGGGAAGAUAAGGACUGUACCCCCAGAAGAAGCCCCGGCUAACUCCGU